CACAGGUUUGGUCCUGGCCUUUCUAUUAGCUGUUAGCAGAUUUACACAUGCAAGAAUCCUCGUACCAGUGAGAAUGCCCUUCAAGUCUACAAGACUAAAAGGAGCUGACAUCAAGCACACUACUUCAAUAGUAGCUCAUAACGUCUUGCUUAACCACGCCCCCACGGGAUACAGCAGUGACAAAAAUUAAGCCAUGAACGAAAGUUUGACUAAGUUAUGCUAAUUAGGGUUGGUAAAUUUCGUGCCAGCCACCGCGGUCAUACGAUUAACCCAAGCUAAUGGAUCGACGGCGUAAAAUGUGUUUAAGAAAGACUGUAAAAUAAGGUCAAAUAAGACUAAAGCAGUAAAAUGCUAACGACCCAUUAAGAUCAACAACGAAAGUGACCUUAUCAAAUCUGACUACACUACAAUUAAGACCCAAACUGGGAUUAGAUACCCCACUAUGCUUAAUCAUAAACAUAGAUAGUUUAUACAACAAAGCUACCCGCCAGAGAACUACGUGCCACAGCCCAAAACUCAAAGGACUUGGCGGUGCUUUACACCCACCUAGAGGAGCCUGUUCUAUAAUCGAUAAACCCCGAUACACCUCACCACCUCUUGCUAAUUCAGCCUAUAUACCGCCAUCUUCAGCAAACCCUGAAAAGGAAAAAAAGUAAGCCCAAACACAUGCAUAAAAAAGUUAGGUCAAGGUGUAGCCUAUGGGGUGGGAAGUAAUGGGCUACAUUUUCUUACAUAGAACAACAACGCUAACCUUCAUGAAACCUGAAGGCCCAAGGAGGAUUUAGUAGUAAACUGAGAAUAGAGAGCUCAAUUGAAUUAGGCCAUAAAGCACGCACACACCGCCCGUCACCCUCCUCAAAUAUGUUCAUAAUUUACAAUCAAACAUAUGUCAAAAUUUACAAGUAUGAGAGGAGACAAGUCGUAACAAGGUAAGCGUACUGGAAGGUGCGCUUGGAAAAAC
rnacentral:ncRNA from 1 species